GAGAGAGAGAGAGAGAGAGAGAGAGAGAGAGAGAGAGAGGAGUAUCUCAGUUCUCUUUUAGCUGUGAGAGGCAAGGAUCGCGGUGGUGAUUGUAAGGUUGAGAGAGACACGCGGCAACCACCACCACCAUCACCACCACCACCACCACCACCACCAUCACCACCACCACCAUUACUACUACCAUUACUUCUACUACUAUUUUUGUUACUUCAGCUACUAUUACUACUGACACUAUUUUCAUUUAUAUUCUACAACUAUUACAUCUAUAAAUACUACAAUUUCCACUACCACCACUACUACUACUACUACUACUACUACUACUACUACUACUACUACUGCUACUACUACUACUCUUACCAUUCUCAUUUAUAAUCUACAAGAAAACUAACACCAAAUACAAUAACAAGAAGAAGAACAACAACAACAACAACAACUACAACUACUACUACUACUACUACUACUACUACUACUACUACUACUACUACUACUGCCAACAUAUAAGAUCAAGUGAGAGAAAGGAAGGAGGAAGAAGGAAGGAGAAGAAGAGCGGAAGGAGGAAGAUGAUGAUGAAGGGGAAUUAGAGCGAGAAAGAAUAAGUAGGAAGGAAGGAAGAUCAGGGAGAGGGAAGUGCGACAAAAGUGGGAAUAAAUGCAAGGAAUAAGAAGAAAAUGAAAGAAAUGUGGGAUAAAUGGAAAUAAAGAAAAAAAAGAAAAGGAAAAAAAUAGUAAUAAAUAUGAAAUAAGGAAAAAUAGAAGGAAAAGUUGGAAUAUAGGAAAAUAAUGCAAAUGUUUAUAAGAAGGUAAGGAAAAAAAUAACGAAGUGAUAAAUAAACAGGAAAAAAAUACGUGGUGGGGAAAAAAAUGGAAAAUGAAAACAAGGAAAAUAUCUGAGAAAAAGUGAGGAAAACAAGAAUAAUUACUGAUGGUGGAAAAAGAAAAAUUAAGGGAAAAUAGACAACAAUAAAUAAUGAGGUAAGGUAAACAAGGUGACAGGAAAAGAAAAAUAAUAAAAAAAAUAAAUAAACAAGGAAAAUUGAAAGAAAAGGUGGAAAAAAAGAAAAAAUAAAUAAACCAAGUGUGAACAGGAAAAGUAAGGAAAAAGAUAGAAAAAUAAUAAAGAAAACAAGUGAAAAAAAAUAAAAAUCGUGGUGAGAGAAAAAAGAGAAAAAGCAAAGUGAAAAAUAUAGGAAAAUAAUGAAUAAAUAUUGACCGGAAAA